UUAAGCGACUAAGCGUACACGGUGGAUGCCCUGGCAGUCAGAGGCGAUGAAGGACGUGCUAAUCUGCGAAAAGCGUCGGUAAGGUGAUAUGAACCGUUAUAACCGGCGAUGUCCGAAUGGGGAAACCCAGUGCAAUUCGUUGCACUAUCGUUAACUGAAUACAUAGGUUAACGAGGCGAACCGGGGGAACUGAAACAUCUAAGUACCCCGAGGAAAAGAAAUCAACCGAGAUUCCCCCAGUAGCGGCGAGCGAACGGGGAGCAGCCCAGAGUCUGAAUCAGCUUGUGUGUUAGUGGAACGGUCUGGAAAGUCCGACGGUACAGGGUGAUAGUCCCGUACACCAAAAUGCACAGGCUGUGAACUCGAAGAGUAGGGCGGGACACGUGGUAUCCUGUCUGAAUAUGGGGGGACCAUCCUCCAAGGCUAAAUACUCCUGACUGACCGAUAGUGAACCAGUACCGUGAGGGAAAGGCGAAAAGAACCCCGGCGAGGGGAGUGAAAAAGAACCUGAAACCGUGUACGUACAAGCAGUGGGAGCACCUUCGGGUGUGACUGCGUACCUUUUGUAUAAUGGGUCAGCGACUUAUAUUCUGUAGCAAGGUUAACCGUAUAGGGGAGCCGCAGGGAAACCGAGUCUUAACUGGGCGUUAAGUUGCAGGGUAUAGACCCGAAACCCGGUGAUCUAGCCAUGGGCAGGUUGAAGGUUGGGUAACACUAACUGGAGGACCGAACCGACUAAUGUUGAAAAAUUAGCGGAUGACUUGUGGCUGGGGGUGAAAGGCCAAUCAAACCGGGAGAUAGCUGGUUCUCCCCGAAAGCUAUUUAGGUAGCGCCUCGUGAAUUCAUCUUCGGGGGUAGAGCACUGUUUCGGCUAGGGGGUCAUCCCGACUUACCAACCCGAUGCAAACUACGAAUACCGAAGAAUGUUAUCACGGGAGACACACGGCGGGUGCUAACGUCCGUCGUGAAGAGGGAAACAACCCAGACCGCCAGCUAAGGUCCCAAAGUCAUGGUUAAGUGGGAAACGAUGUGGGAAGGCACAGACAGCCAGGAUGUUGGCUUAGAAGCAGCCAUCAUUUAAAGAAAGCGUAAUAGCUCACUGGUCGAGUCGGCCUGCGCGGAAGAUGUAACGGGGCUAAACCAUGCACCGAAGCUGCGGCAGCGACACUAUGUGUUGUUGGGUAGGGGAGCGUUCUGUAAGCCUGCGAAGGUGUGCUGUGAGGCAUGCUGGAGGUAUCAGAAGUGCGAAUGCUGACAUAAGUAACGAUAAAGCGGGUGAAAAGCCCGCUCGCCGGAAGACCAAGGGUUCCUGUCCAACGUUAAUCGGGGCAGGGUGAGUCGACCCCUAAGGCGAGGCCGAAAGGCGUAGUCGAUGGGAAACAGGUUAAUAUUCCUGUACUUGGUGUUACUGCGAAGGGGGGACGGAGAAGGCUAUGUUAGCCGGGCGACGGUUGUCCCGGUUUAAGCAUGUAGGCUGGUUGUCCAGGCAAAUCCGGAUAAUCAAGGCUGAGGUGUGAUGACGAGGCACUACGGUGCUGAAGUAACAAAUGCCCUGCUUCCAGGAAAAGCCUCUAAGCAUCAGGUAACAUUAAAUCGUACCCCAAACCGACACAGGUGGUCAGGUAGAGAAUACCAAGGCGCUUGAGAGAACUCGGGUGAAGGAACUAGGCAAAAUGGUGCCGUAACUUCGGGAGAAGGCACGCUGGUGUGUAGGUGAAGUCCCUGCGGAUGGAGCUGAGACCAGUCGAAGAUACCAGCUGGCUGCAACUGUUUAUUAAAAACACAGCACUGUGCAAACACGAAAGUGGACGUAUACGGUGUGACGCCUGCCCGGUGCCGGAAGGUUAAUUGAUGGGGUUAUCCGUAAGGAGAAGCUCUUGAUCGAAGCCCCGGUAAACGGCGGCCGUAACUAUAACGGUCCUAAGGUAGCGAAAUUCCUUGUCGGGUAAGUUCCGACCUGCACGAAUGGCGUAAUGAUGGCCAGGCUGUCUCCACCCGAGACUCAGUGAAAUUGAACUCGCUGUGAAGAUGCAGUGUACCCGCGGCAAGACGGAAAGACCCCGUGAACCUUUACUAUAGCUUGACACUGAACAUUGAGCCUUGAUGUGUAGGAUAGGUGGGAGGCUUUGAAGCGUGGACGCCAGUCUGCGUGGAGCCAACCUUGAAAUACCACCCUUUAAUGUUUGAUGUUCUAACGUUGGCCCCUGACCGGGGUUGCGGACAGUGUCUGGUGGGUAGUUUGACUGGGGCGGUCUCCUCCCAAAGCGUAACGGAGGAGCACGAAGGUUAGCUAAUCCUGGUCGGACAUCAGGAGGUUAGUGCAAUGGCAUAAGCUAGCUUGACUGCGAGCGUGACGGCGCGAGCAGGUGCGAAAGCAGGUCAUAGUGAUCCGGUGGUUCUGAAUGGAAGGGCCAUCGCUCAACGGAUAAAAGGUACUCCGGGGAUAACAGGCUGAUACCGCCCAAGAGUUCAUAUCGACGGCGGUGUUUGGCACCUCGAUGUCGGCUCAUCACAUCCUGGGGCUGAAGUAGGUCCCAAGGGUAUGGCUGUUCGCCAUUUAAAGUGGUACGCGAGCUGGGUUUAGAACGUCGUGAGACAGUUCGGUCCCUAUCUGCCGUGGGCGCUGGAGAAUUGAGGGGGGCUGCUCCUAGUACGAGAGGACCGGAGUGGACGCAUCACUGGUGUUCGGGUUGUCAUGCCAAUGGCACUGCCCGGUAGCUAAAUGCGGAAGAGAUAAGUGCUGAAAGCAUCUAAGCACGAAACUUGCCCCGAGAUGAGUUCUCCCUGAGACUUUAAGUCUCCUGAAGGAACGUUGAAGACGACGACGUUGAUAGGCCGGGUGUGUAAGCGCAGCGAUGCGUUGAGCUAACCGGUACUAAUGAACCGUGAGGCUUAACCUU
rnacentral:rRNA from 3 species